rnacentral:rRNA from 1 species
CCUACGGGAGGCAGCAGUGGGGAAUUUUGGGCAAUGGGCGAAAGCCUGACCCAGCAACGCCGCGUGAAGGAUGAAAUCCCUCUGGGAUGUAAACUUCGAAAGUCGGGAAAGAAAUCGCCAUGGUUAAUAACCGUGGUGGAUGACGGUACCCGACGUAAGCCCCGGCUAACUACGUGCCAGCAGCCGCGGUAAUACGUAGGGGGCAAGCGUUGUUCGGAAUUACUGGGCGUAAAGGGCGCGUAGGCGGCAUGGCAAGUCGGGAGUGAAAGCCCGGGGCUCAACCCCGGAACUGCUUUCGAAACUGCCAAGCUAGAGUACGGAAGGGGCAACUGGAAUUCCCAGUGUAGCGGUGAAAUGCGUAGAUAUUGGGAAGAACACCGGAGGCGAAGGCGGGUUGCUGGGCCGAUACUGACGCUGAGGCGCGAAAGCCAGGGGAGCAAACGGGAUUAGAUACCCCGGUAGUCCUGGCCCUAAACGAUGGAUACUUGGUGUGUGGGGUUCUCAAAGUCCCCGCGUGCCGGAGCUAACGCGUUAAGUAUCCCGCCUGGGGAGUACGGUCGCAAGGCUGAAACUCAAAUGAAUUGACGG